rnacentral:rRNA from 1 species
UAGAUACCCUGGUAGUCCACGCCGUAAACGUUGGGAACUAGGUGUUGGCGACAUUCCACGUCGUCGGUGCCGCAGCUAACGCAUUAAGUUCCCCGCCUGGGGAGUACGGCCGCAAGGCUAAAACUCAAAGGAAUUGACGGGGGCCCGCACAAGCAGCGGAGCAUGUGGCUUAAUUCGACGCAACGCGAAGAACCUUACCAAGGCUUGACAUAUACCGGAAACGGCCAGAGAUGGUCGCCCCCUUGUGGUC